ensembl:lncRNA
AAAAAUGCAGCCUCAUUUACAAAUCUUGGAAUUUUUUCUGCCUUUAUCUGUUAUUUUUUUAGAAUAGUUUUAGGAAUGUUAGGUAGAUUUCUAAUUAUAUGGCAAAUCAGAUUUUUUUUUUUUUUAAGCAACUGUGUGCCAGGAGUAGGAUCCUAAGGUUGCAGCUAGACUCAAAGGGCAAGACACCAUGAUUGAUUAGUCAUGUUUAAAUGCAACCAUCACAACUGCCAAUCUCCUUCCCCUCGUGAUUUUCUGACCUUCUGCAAGCUCAGUGGUCUUCUCCACUGAGCUGAUAAAUGGUUGGCCUGGUUCUUGUCCAGACCCACUAAAUUCUGACGAUGCUAAGCUAAGCCACACCCACUGGCACUAAAUCCAAAGGUCCAAGCCAUUUAAGGAAUAUGAAUGUUGGCUCCAGUUCAUAUGAUGGAAGUUAUGUAACCAGCUCUUGCAUACCAUUCAACCUUCCUGUCUACCUCUCAAACUCCAUGAUUCAAGAUUCUUUCAGUGUCUAAAUCUUUCCCGUUCUUUAAAUUUCUCUGCAGCUCGGCAAUGUGUCACUGCAUUGUGCAGUCGUAAAAAUAAUAUUAAUGUUACGUGGUGCGAAACGAUGCUCAUACCACAUCCCGCGGAUGAAAAAUAUUGAAUGUGUCAACAUGUUCGAGGACUAAGAAGAGAGCGUCGUCAUUCAGCUCCUGGCCUCUAUCUUCAGGUACUAGCUCUGCUGUUGACCACCUACGUCUUCUGCCAGUGACACAUCCUGUGCCUUGGUUUCUCCAAGGAAAUAUUGAAACCCACACUGCAGUCAAAAGGAUUCAGAGAAUGACACGUACAAUCUUCAGCCAUUUGUGUGAGUCAAGCUCAUUGAUUACCAGGCAAGAUGAGGUUAAUCUCCUCAACCCUCAGCCCCGGAAGGAACAACAAUGUGGAACAUGUAUCCUUGCCACAGGGGCACAGCUUUCUGGGCCAGAGGUAGACACACCUCAAAGGGGAAACGAUUCAUAAUUAUGGCUGAGCCAAAAGAAGCUACCUUUUGGGAAUCUGUAAUUGAGAUUCUGAGGGACUGGCUAAGUUUGUGGCAAGCCAAAAAUACAUCAACACAGAGAAAGCAGGGAUGUUUAUUGAGCAUCCACUAUGUGUCAGCCACAAGAGAUACAACGGUGAACGAGAUGAAUAUGGUUCUUCCCCCAUGGAACUUUCUGCCUCAUCUCCACAAGUAAAACAUCACUAUGCCUUUGUUAGAAGGGUUGAUAUCUUCCUCCUUCCUGAUGGGCCCACAGCUGGAAUCUCCAGAACUGCUCCCCAAGUCAGUUUGCACACAUGGGCCAACUCCUCCAUUAAGAGAAGAACUUGCCAUCUGAUUAAUUGCUUGGCAAUUGACCUCCUAUCAACCAAUCAUCUCUCGUGAAGACACUGCCGUCAGCAGCGUUCAAUCACCACAUGUCACUGAUGGCUCCCUACCGUACAUUACUGUAAAACUAUAUCACUUCUCACAUGAGGAUUAAGUCAUCCAAGCAGAAGCUUGAAGACUUUGCCAAGAGCCCUGACGGACUCCAUCUCAACCCCUUGGGUGAAAGAGGCUUCCUUAGGAGAUCUGAUGUUUCCAGUUUUCCUUGGCUGGAAGCUCCUGCUGGACAGCUGACAAGGAGAUGUGACAGGUGUUUGUGUCUCCCUCAAACACUUGGGUCUUUAACAGCAUUGGAGAACCGUCUGCUUGGCCACUUGGCAGAAUGUAUUUCCCGGAAGUGCAUUCUAUGCUCUGAGGUUGUGAAUCCUGAGAAGUCAGAACAACAAGCUGUGACCCUUUCUCUAGAAGGCAAGAGUGCUUCCAAGCCAGGGCAGCUGGUGCUAAUUAAUAUCUUCUGCUUGGUCAGCUAAAUCUCCUUUUGAUAUAAACAACUCUGAUCAUAUCAGCAAGCCAGCAGGGAAGACAGACAUAUGGAGUUAAGGCCAACCUUACAUAUAUUUUCCUCUCUCAGGGCCCCUCUCUUUUCCCCUUGGUGCCCCCACCAGUUUUAAAUGCUUUGAUUACAGGAACAAGCCUUUAUGCUACUCCUGCUUCUACUUCUCCUGUAAAGAAAACACCUCUGUAGUUGACAGGUUUCACUUUGACUUUUUCUUAUCGGAAAUUCAACGUGGUAGCUGUUUCAUUAACUUGAUUUCUCAUGGUGGGCAGAGUUUUUUUUCUUUUCUUUUUCUUUUUCUUUUUUUUGAGUGUGGACAAGUGCAACAUGAGAGGUAAAGCUGUGGUCACAGUGCUGUGGAGGUGGUGGUGCUCCAUGCUGGGAUGUCAUCACGAGCUAGACUGGGGACCCCAUGGGGGACACUCAAGGGCGCAAGCUGGUGGAGCAUAUGGAGGCUGCAGUGGGUAGAGAGCUGCCUAGGGGUUCAUAGCAUUCUCAUGGGUUCCCCAUGAUCUGCUGUUCAGUUUAAUCCACUCAAAAUGCUGACAUACUACUCUUCUCUGAAAUUCCUUUCCUUUUGCCUAUUUCCAGAUAGGUGCUCAGCACAAAGGAAUGAGGACAGAUGGGAUUAAGCAGGGAGGGACUUUUUGGAGGUGGGGGGCUGUUUCUGGAGACUGACUUUCAGGAUCUUUCACAGGAGCGACCCAAGGACCCCAUCACAGUGUGUUUCCCCUUCCUUCAAGGCAAUGUCCCAAGGGCUUAGAAAGCGCAGUUAAUGACAUGAGAAUAGAGGUUAAGAUUGGCUUUCCCUGGGUCACUUGGUCUCUUCCUGCUCCUCCAAGCUUUCAGCAUGGUUCCUGAUCUGCCGCUGCUGACAAGCACUCAAUCAGACAGGAGAGGAAAUUAUGCAGACAGAGGAAAAAAUCACACUUCUUUAGUUUUCUUAAAGAGAAACUGACACGAGGCAAAUAAAAUCCUCAAAUGAAAAUGCUACUGACAUAUUUGUUGCCCUUGUCUAUUUUGCUGCAGGGAUGGUAGUCAAACCCUUAGAUUGAAAAGGCUUCUCUUCAAGGUGGAAGGAAGUGGUGAAUGGAUAUUGGAAAGUAGGGUGUGGGGAGGUGAGAAUCCAAUCCAGAGUAGUGUGACUUGGAAAUGGCACCAAGAGGGUGGAGAAUUUCCUAGGACGGGUGAAAAUUUGGACAGAAAAUAAGCCAUCUCCAUGCUGGGAUGCCUUCAAAAUGCCUCAAAAGCUCACUCUCCCCCAAUUCCCACUAUAAAAGAACUGGGUCUCAAGUUCUCUGAAAAUGGCAUGACCUUUCACCCUGUUAGCAAGAUAAGACCUGAGGGUCAUCUCUGACAUUGCAUCUUACAUCUAAAGCAGGGUUUCUCAACCUCAGCACCAUUGGCAUUUGAGGCCAUAUGGAUAUUUGUUGGUGGGGAGGGGGCUGUCCCCUGCAUUGUAGGAUAUUUAGUGUCUUACUCUAUUAGAUGCCAAGAGCACACCCUUCCACAAUGAAACCUCUGUGCCCCACUAAUUUUGACCACCCAAAUCCCCAGACAUUGCCAGAUAUCCCGGGGUGUAUGUGUGUGUGUGGGGGGGGGGUGUAUAACUGUCCCUGGUCUAGGACCCCUGGUGGAGAGUAAACCACCAAGUGCUGCUGAGUUUAUCUUCUGCAUCUGCCUCUUUCUCCCCACCCUGCAUCUGCAACCCUAGGUUUAAGUGACGUUACCUCCCACCUGGACACCUGCUGCAGCCAAUCUUCUCAUGCCACUCCUGCCUCCUCCAACCUACUAUCCCAAUGGCAACCUAGGUAAUGAUUCCAGAAUCCCCAUACAAAACCUUGGAAGCUUUCCUAUGCUCUGAGGAUAUAGAUGAAGAUUCCUAACAGGGCUCAAAAGAACCUAGCUAUGGCCUGCUUCCUUUGCUUGUUUCACAUCAUCCUUAUCCUCCCAUCAGCUCCUGAUGCCCCGUGAAAGGUCCUCUAUGCCCCAUGCUCCCUUCAACUAAACAUCCUUCUUUCUCCUCCACUUAUUUCAGUCUUGUGGGUCAAGGUUCCAAAAUCACUCGUCCUGGGUCACAAGCCUCCUAGAUACCCCUGCGUCGAGGCUCCCAGCAAUGUAUGU